ACAGGUGUCCGUUAAACGGAAGAAUAGGAAAGCCGGGUUAAAAGCCCGCACGGUCACGCCGCUGUAAAGGAACAGCAGCUAUCCAGAUACGCCACUGUGAAAAUGGGAAGGCGGGUAGCUGUGAAGAAGCCUGAGUCAGAAGACCUGCCUGCGAUAAA
rnacentral:ncRNA from 1 species